UACGUAGGGUGCGAGCGUUGUCCGGAAUUAUUGGGCGUAAAGAGCUCGUAGGCGGUGUGUCGCGUCGGCCGUGAAAACCUGGGGCUCAACUCUGGGCGUGCGGUCGAUACGGGCAUCACUUGAGUUCGGCAGGGGAGACUGGAAUUCCUGGUGUAGCGGUGAAAUGCGCAGAUAUCAGGAGGAACACCAAUGGCGAAGGCAGCACUCUGGGACGGUACUGACGCUAAGACGCGAAAGCGUGGGGAGCAAACAGG
rnacentral:rRNA from 1 species